AUGGAGGAUGAAAGUACUUUCCAUGCCCUUGUGUCUUGUCCAAAGGUGUGUGUGUUCCGUUUCGCUAUGAGAGAAGAGUGGAUUAUUCCUGCCGAGGAGCUUUUCAGAUUUACGGGGCCGGACUGGAUGCUUAUUCUGCUUGAUCAAUUAGGGUCGCCAAAACAUGAUCAAGUUUUAUUCAUGCUUUGGAGAGCUUGGCCUCUCAGAAAUGAUAUGAUCUUCGGGAAGAGGAAAGAAUCCUUACGUGCUUCUAUCGCUUUUGUGGGAAAUUACUGGAAAUCCUUCACAAAUGUCAAAAACAGUGCGCAAGUUGACUUAAGCAUCAAAGAUAAGGGGGUGAUUGAUAAUGGGGGGUACAUCACACCAAUCGCGAAGGCUCAUCGUAAUUGGGAGCCACCGGACCAAGGGUAUAUUAAGAUAAACGUUGAUACUAGGUUUGUGGAGAGCAUGAGAUUUGCCAGCAUUGGGAUAAUUGCCAGGAAUCACCUAGGCGAAGUCCUGGUUUCCUCAUGGGAUUUUAUCGGGUCGUGCACUUGUGUGGAUGAAGCAGAAUUUCGUGCGGCGCUUGCUGGGUUAUAUAUUGGUAUUGCAUUCCAAAGUCCUGUUAUUUUGAAGACUGACAGCGUGACUAUUGCUUUUUCUCUGGCAAAAGAUUCUUUUGACAGGUCUCCUUUUGUGGACCUGAAAAAGGAGGCGAUGAGUGUCUCAAAUUUCAUUAAGGAUUUCAAGAUAGUGAAGAUUGAUAGGCAGGCAAAUAGGAUAGUGCAUGAGAUUGUUAAAUUUUGUUUUGAUAGUAGGUCAGAUGGUGUUUUAUGUAAUAGUGUUCCAUCCUGCGUGGCUAUCUUUGGAAUGAAUGAUUGUAAGAAUUUUGUUAUUUCUAAUUAA
rnacentral:rRNA from 1 species